UACGAAGGGGGCUAGCGUUGUUCGGAAUUACUGGGCGUAAAGCGCACGUAGGCGGACAUUUAAGUCAGGGGUGAAAUCCCAGAGCUCAACUCUGGAACUGCCUUUGAUACUGGGUGUCUUGAGUAUGGAAGAGGUGAGUGGAAUUCCGAGUGUAGAGGUGAAAUUCGUAGAUAUUCGGAGGAACACCAGUGGCGAAGGCGGCUCACUGGUCCAUUACUGGCGCUGAGGUGCGAAAGCGUGGGGAGCAAACAGG
rnacentral:rRNA from 1 species